rnacentral:lncRNA from 10 species
GAAGGGGAGGAAGUGAAGAUCUUCAGACUAAGAUGGAUGAAGCUGAAUUCAGAUCUCAGCUCCAAGGUGAAUGAGCAAACAGCACAGAAAAAGAAACAGCAGUAUAUGUGGAAGAAAGCAAGAAAAAUCAACUGGCCUGGAACCUAAGACUUGUCCAAAGAUGUCACAGAGAGUAAAAUGAGAAAAAUCCAGUAGCCCGUGCCCAGAGCAGUUCCUCGUACCCAGCAGAAGGCUAACAAGCCCUGAGAUGAAUGAUGCUCUUCCCAAGGAAGGCAGAGGAGGCGACAGUCCAUUUGCGUUCUCUCCUCUGCAAGUACAGGAUCUCGUUUGAUUCUCAAAACCACCCUAGAGGAGACAGGAGGCACCUGAGGCCCAGAGACGUGAAGCCACCUGUCCAAGGCCAUACAGCAGAUAACUUAUUCUGGAGGAAGACACCUGCCAUGCCGUGAGGACAGUCAAGCAGUUCUGUGGAGAGAUCCAUGUGGUGAGAAACAGGGGCCUCCUGUCAACAGGAAGAACAACCUGGCAGGCCUGUCUUGGAUUCAGAGCCUCCAGCCCCAGUCGAGCCUUCAGAUAACUGCACCCUUGGCUGUCAUCUCAACUGCAAUCUCACGACAGACCCUGAGCUGGAACUACUCUGUUUACCAAUGCCUGGCCCACAGAAAGACUAUGAGAUAAAACAAGUAUAUUGUUUUUAGAAGAUAUGUUUUGGAGUAAUUUAUUAUGC